rnacentral:rRNA from 1 species
CGAACGCUGGCGGCGCGCCUAACACAUGCAAGUCGAACGGAGAACAGUUGUUAGACAGCGGGCAAGAAGAAACUUAUUGUCCGGUGUCUAAUGACUGUUCUUAGUGGCGAACGGGUGAGUAACACGUGAGGAACCUGCCUUUCAGAGGGGGAUAACACUUAGAAAUAGGUGCUAAUACCGCAUGAAACAUUCGGAUCACAUGGUCUGAAUGUCAAAGGAGCAAUCCGCUGAGAGAUGGACUCGCGUCUGAUUAGCUAGUUGGUGAGAUAAUAGCCCACCAAGGCAACGAUCAGUAGCCGGACUGAGAGGUUGAACGGCCACAUUGGGACUGAGACACGGCCCAGACUCCUACGGGAGGCAGCAGUGGGGAAUAUUGCACAAUGGAGGAAACUCUGAUGCAGCGACGCCGCGUGAGGGAAGAAGGUUUUCGGAUUGUAAACCUCUGUCUUCGGGGACGAUAAUGACGGUACCCGAGGAGGAAGCCACGGCUAACUACGUG